rnacentral:rRNA from 1 species
GACAGAGGGUGCAAACGUUGCUCGGAAUCACUGGGCGUAAAGGGCGCGUAGGCGGAUAGAUAAGUCGGGCGUGAAAUCCCUAGGCUCAACCUAGGAACUGCACUCGAAACUGUUUGUCUUGAGUACCGGAGAGGAAAGCGGAAUACCUGGUGUAGAGGUGAAAUUCGUAGAUAUCAAGCAGAACACCUGCGGCGAAGGCGGCCUUCUGGACGAUGACUGACGCUGAGACGCGAAAGCGUGGGGAGCAAACAGG